GCUUGAACUUUAUAUAACUGGAACCAUGUUAUAUAUUCUUCUAUAGUUUGUUUUGUUCCAACAUUAUAUUCCUGGAAUAAUUCAAGUUAGACAACAAGGUGGUUGAAACA